rnacentral:rRNA from 1 species
AAUUCUAGAGCUAAUACAUGCUGGUUAGCCUGACUUUUGAGGAAGGGCUGUAUUUAUUAGAUAACAAACCAAUAUUCCCCGUGUCUAUUGUGAUGACUCAUAAUAACUGAUCGAAUCGCAUGGGCCUUGCCCGCGAUACAUCAUUCAAGUUUCUGCCCCAUCAGCUUUCGAUGGUAGUGUAUUGGACUACCAUGGCUUUCACGGGUAACGGAGGAUUAGGGUUCGAUUCCGGAGAGGGAGCCUGAGAAACGGCUACCACAUCUAAGGAAGGCAGCAGGCGCGUAAAUUACCCAAUCCUGAUUCAGGGAGGUAGUGACAAGAAAUAACGGACCGAGGCUUUUGUCUCGGGAUUGCAAUGAGUAGAAUUUAAACCCCUUUACGAGGAUCAAUUGGAGGGCAAGUCUGGUGCCAGCAGCCGCGGUAAUUCCAGCUCCAAUAGCGUAUAUUAAAGUUGUUGCAGUUAAAAAGCUCGUAGUUGGAUUUCUGAGGGGGUGCCAAUGUCCGCAUGUUGCGUGUGCAGCGGGGCCCCCUCAUCCUUCUGUUAACGUUUCUGAUAUUCAUUUAUUGGUCUCGGGCUCAGAUAUUUUACCUUGAGAAAAUUAGAGUGUUCCAGGCAGGCUUGCGCCGGAAUACAUUAGCAUGGAAUAAUAGAAUAGGACUUUAGUCUCCUUUGUUGGUUUGAGGGACUGAAGUAAUGAUUAAUAGGGAUAGUUGGGGGCAUUAGUAUUUAAUUGUCAGAGGUGAAAUUCUCGGAUUUGUUAAAGACUAACUUAUGCGAAAGCAUUUG